GGGGUUGUGGCUCAGUGGCAGAGCACUCACCUCACAUGUGUGAGGCACUAGGUUCGAGUCCCAGCACCA
rnacentral:tRNA from 1 species